GACGAACGCUGGCGGCGUGGAUUAGGCAUGCAAGUCGAACGGUAUCAUCCUUUCGGGGGUGAGAGAGUGGCGAACUGGUGAGUAACACGUAGGUUAUCUACCCUCAAGACGGGGACAACCCAGGGAAACUUGGGCUAAUACCGGAUGUGAGCAACUUUUAGUUGUUUGAAAGGUGGCGUAAGCUGUCGCUUGGGGAUGAGCCUGCGUCCUAUUAGUUAGUUGGUGAGGUAACGGCUCACCUAGGCAAUGAUAGGUAGGCGGCCUUAACGGGUGGUCGCCCACACUGGGAUUGAGAUACGGCCCAGACUCCUACGGGAGGCAGCAGUCGAGAAUAGUCUACAAUGGUCGGAAGACUGAUAGUGCGACGCCGCGUGAACGAUGAAUCCCUUCGGGGUGUAAAGUUCUUUUAUAUGUGAGCAGUGCUUCUUAUAUUAACAGUAUGGGGAGAGAGAUAUUAGCAUAUGAAUAAGCAACGGCUAACUCCGUGCCAGCAGCCGCGGUAAUCG
rnacentral:rRNA from 1 species